rnacentral:rRNA from 1 species
AGCAACCGCGGUAAUUCCAGCUCCAAUAGCGUAUAUUAAAGUUGUUGCAGUUAAAAAGCUCGUAGUUGAAUUUCGGGGUUAGUAGAUUGGUCAUGCCUCUGGUAUGCACUGGUCUUACUGAUUCCUCCUUCCUGAUGAACCGUAAUGCCAUUAAUUUGGUGUUGCGGGGAAACUGGACUGUUACUUUGAAAAAUUAGAGUGUUUAAAGCAGGCUCACGCUUGAAUACAUUAGCAUGGAAUAACGGAAUAGGACGUUUGAUUCUAUUUUGUUGGUUUCUAGGAUCGACGUAAUGAUUAAUAGGGAUAGUUGGGGGCAUUAGUAUUCAAUUGUCAGAGGUGAAAUUCUUGGAUUUAUUGUAAGACUAACUACUGCGAAAGCAUUUGCCAAGGAUGUUUUCAUUAAUCAAGAACGAAAGUUAGGGGAUCGAAGACGAGUCAGAUACCGUCGUAGUCUUAACCAUAAACUAU